rnacentral:rRNA from 1 species
UACAGAGGUCCCAAGCGUUGUUCGGAUUCACUGGGCGUAAAGGGCGCGUAGGCGGCUUGGCAAGUGGAUGGUGAAAUCCCUCGGCUUAACCGAGGAACUGCCGUCCAAACUGCUUUGCUUGAGACCGGGAGAGGUGAGUGGAAUUCCCAGUGUAGCGGUGAAAUGCGUAGAUAUUGGGAGGAACACCAGUGGCGAAGGCGGCUCACUGGACCGGUACUGACGCUGAUGCGCGAAAGCGUGGGGAGCAAACGGGG